rnacentral:rRNA from 1 species
CUACGGGGUGCAGCAGUGAGGAAUAUUGCACAAUGGGGGGAACCCUGAUGCAGCAACGCCGCGUGGAGGAUGACGCAUUUCGGUGUGUAAACUCCUUUUAUAUGUCAAGAAAAUGACGGUAGCAUAUGAAUAAGCACCGGCUAACUCCGUGCCAGCAGCCGCGGUAAUACGGAGGGGUGCAAGCGUUACUCGGAAUCACUGGGCGCAAAGGACGCGUAGGCGGGUUGGAAAGUCAGGUGUGAAAUCCUACAGCUUAACUGUAGAACUGCACUUGAAACUUCUAAUCUAGAGUAUGGGAGGGGGAGAUGGAAUUAGUGGUGUAGGGGUAAAAUCCGUAGAUAUCACUAGGAAUACCUAAAGCGAAGGCGAUCUCCUGGAACAUUACUGACGCUAAGGCGUGAAAGCGUGGGGAGCAAACAGGAUUAGAUACCCUCGUAGUC